UGCCAUUAGGUUGAUUAGUGUGACUGAUCUUGGUGCCAGUUCGAUCAUCAUGACCCUAAUCCGAUUAAGUGACUUGGUGAAGUCAAUGGGAGAAUUGUGGUCUACUGAUUGAUCUCUUUUUCUUUCUUCUCUAAAUUAAUUAAAUCUUCUAAAUUAUUAAGUCCAUAAAAUGAGCUAAUUAUAGGGAUAACUGGAUCAUAGUCUCCCAUUAAGGUGAAUGGCAAUGGGUCCAUUAUUUCUGAUUGACAUUGCAGGCACCAUCC
rnacentral:lncRNA from 1 species